UGAGAGUUUUGUGUAUCUGGAUGCUACU
rnacentral:piRNA from 1 species